rnacentral:lncRNA from 1 species
ACCAGAAUGCCAAAACACAAAAUAUUCAAUAAAGUUCUUCAAACAAACAAGAUAUAAAAUUAACUUUGAACUACUUACAGAAACACUUGUGAACCUACUACUUGAUUGAAAUAGUCCAAACCUAGAACUUCCCCUACCACUACCAGUUCCUCUACCAAUAGCAGCAGGGGCAGAAAUAGAUAGAGUUGAAGAAGUUCCUCUUUCUCUACCAGCAGCAGCAGAGGCAGAAGUAGUGGAGUUGAAGAAGUUCCUCUUCCUUUACUUGGUCUGCCUCUACCUCUUCCUCCACAUCUUUGUACAUAUGAAGCAUUUGCUAGAGUAGAACCUGCAGGCCUUGCUUCCUUAUGGCAACUCUUCUUGUUGUGUCCAUAUCCACCACAGUUUGAACAUGUCAUCUCCUUACCCAUUCUUGAAAGCUUUCCAAAAGUAGGAUGUUCAGUUUCUUCUCUUCUUCUUUGGUCUUCCAGGCAUCUUUUUAAUUGGUGGGGAUUCAAUUGGUGGAUUGGUAGAUGUUGGCCACAUCUGCAUGUUUGACACAGGCUGGAUGAAUGUUGAAUAUGCCUUCAGAUAGGUGGAUUUGUGGUACCACCUAAGAGAUCAAGUUGAUAGGCCACAUCUGCAUGUUUGACACAGGCUGGAUGAAUGUUGAAUAUACCUUCAGAUAGGUGGAUUUGUGGUACCAGUGAGAUAUGUAAUUAAUUGGUUCAAGGUUUUUGAAAUGCAUAGCAGCAACGACAUGAGCACAAGGGAUACCAUUUAGCAUCCAUGACCUGCAUGUACAAGUUUGAGUUUGCAUAUUCACACAAUGCUUCAGCACGACUGUUAAUGAGGUAUCCUUAACCUCAUAGCCAUAUUCACCAUUCCACUUGAUUGUACACCUCAUAGAUUGGGCCAUGUUAUCC